rnacentral:rRNA from 1 species
UACGUAGGGUGCGAGCGUUGUCCGGAAUUAUUGGGCGUAAAGAGCUCGUAGGCGGUGUGUUACGUCGGCCGUGAAAACCUGCAGCUUAACUGUGGGCGUGCGGUCGAUACGGGCAUCACUGGAGUUCGGCAGGGGAGACUGGAAUUCCUGGUGUAGCGGUGAAAUGCGCAGAUAUCAGGAGGAACACCGGUGGCGAAGGCGGGUCUCUGGGCCGGUACCGACGCUGAGGAGCGAAAGCGUGGGGAGCGAACAGG